rnacentral:rRNA from 1 species
CAGUCGCCACGGUAAUACGAGGGGAGCUAGCGUUAUUCGGAAUUACUGGGCGUAAAGCGCACGUAGGCGGCUUUGUAAGUUAGAGGUGAAAGCCCAGAGCUCAACUCUGGAAUUGCCUUUAAGACUGCAUCGCUUGAAUCCAGGAGAGGUGAGUGGAAUUCCGAGUGUAGAGGUGAAAUUCGUAGAUAUUCGGAAGAACACCAGUGGCGAAGGCGGCUCACUGGACUGGUAUUGACGCUGGGGUGCGAAAGCGUGGGGAGCAAACAGGAUUAGAUACCCCGGUAGUCCCUGUCUCUUAUAC